UAAUACGGGGGGUGCAAGCGUUAAUCGGAAUUACUGGGCGUAAAGGGUGCGUAGGUGGUUUUUUAAGUUAGUUGUGAAAUUCCUGGGCUCAACCUGGGCAGUGCAACUAAGACUGAAGGACUAGAGUAUAGGAGAGGGUAGUGGAAUUUCCGGUGUAGCGGUGAAAUGCGUAGAGAUCGGAAGGAACACCAGUGGCGAAGGCGGCUACCUGGCCUAAUACUGACACUGAGGCACGAAAGCGUGGGGAGCAAACAGGAUUAGAUACCCUGGUAGUCCACGCUGUAAACGAUGUCAACUAGCCGUUGGCCUUAUUAAAGAGGCAAGUGGCGCAGCAAACGCGGUAAGUUGACCGCCUGGGGAGUACGGUCGCAAGAUUA
rnacentral:rRNA from 1 species